rnacentral:rRNA from 1 species
UUGGAGGGCAAGUCUGGUGCCAGCAGCCGCGGUAAUUCCAGCUCCAAUAGCGUAUAUUAAAGUUGUUGCAGUUAAAAAGCUCGUAGUUGAAUUUCGGGGUCAGUAGGUUGGUCGUGCCACUGGUAUGCACUGGUCUCACUGAUUCCUCCUUCCUGAUGAACCGUAAUGCCAUUAAUUUGGUGUUGCGGGGAAUCUGGACUGUUACUUUGAAAAAAUUAGAGUGUUUAAAGCAGGCUAACGCUUGAAUACAUUAGCAUGGAAUAAUGAAAUAGGACGUUCGAUCCUAUUUUGUUGGUUUCUAGGAUUGACGUAAUGAUUAAUAGGGAUAGUUGGGGGCAUUAGUAUUCAAUUGUCAGAGGUGAAAUUCUUGGAUUUAUUGAAGGCUAACUACUGCGAAAGCAUUUGCCAAGGAUGUUUUCAUUAAUCAAGAACGAAAGUUAGGGGAUCGAAGACGAUCAGAUACCGUCGUAGUCUUAACCAUAAACUAUGCCGACUAGGGAUCGGAUGAUGUUAAUUUUUUAAUGACUCAUUCGGCGCCUUACGGGAAA